rnacentral:rRNA from 1 species
AUUGAACGCUGGCGGCAGGCCUAACACAUGCAAGUCGAACGGUAACAGGAAGAAGCUUGCUUCUUUGCUGACGAGUGGCGGACGGGUGAGUAAUGUCUGGGAAACUGCCUGAUGGAGGGGGAUAACUACUGGAAACGGUAGCUAAUACCGCAUAACGUCGCAAGACCAAAGAGGGGGACCUUCGGGCCUCUUGCCAUCGGAUGUGCCCAGAUGGGAUUAGCUAGUAGGUGGGGUAACGGCUCACCUAGGCGACGAUCCCUAGCUGGUCUGAGAGGAUGACCAGCCACACUGGAACUGAGACACGGUCCAGACUCCUACGGGAGGCAGCAGUGGGGAAUAUUGCACAAUGGGCGCAAGCCUGAUGCAGCCAUGCCGCGUGUAUGAAGAAGGCCUUCGGGUUGUAAAGUACUUUCAGCGGGGAGGAAGGGAGUAAAGUUAAUACCUUUGCUCAUCGACGUUACCCGCAGAAGAAGCACCGGCUAACUCCGUG